UGGGGAAUAUUGCACAAUGGAGAGAACUCUGAUGCAGCGACGCCGCGUGAACGAAGAAGGCUUUCGAGUCGUAAAGUUCUUUUAUAUGGGAAGAUAAUGACGGUACCAUAAGAAAAAGCCCCGGCUAACUACGUGCCAGCAGCCGCGGUAAUACGUAGGGGGCUAGCGUUGUCCGGAAUCACUGGGCGUAAAGGGUUCGCAGGCGGAAAUGCAAGUCAGGUGUAAAAGGCAGUAGCUUAACUACUGUAAGCAUUUGAAACUGCAUAUCUUGAGAAGAGUCGAGGUAAGUGGAAUUUUUAGUGUAGCGGUGAAAUGCUGAGAUAUUAAAAAGAAUACCGGGGGCGAAGGCGGCUUACUGGGCUCAUUCUGACGCUGAGGAACGAAAGCGUGGGUAGCAAACAGG
rnacentral:rRNA from 1 species